CUGCGACAAUGCCAGGCAGGGACCGCCAGCAACACUUCGCUGGAAACGCGGGACGCAGGUUUACAGAAGACUUGUGUUUUCCUUGACCGAGUUCAGAAGUGCCAGGACAUGCAGAACUAGACCUGCAUGGCCUACGUCUCCUUCAACCGUAGUGAUUUGAGUCUCUGGAAGCAUCUCCAAAUGAGGUUGACGGUGGCCUCUCGGGCACCGGCGGGGAACGAGGCGGCCGCAGAAAAGUGUCCCCGCGGAUUCGUUUCCUCUUUGUUUUUAAGGUACAAAAGGAGGAUCGAUGAUUCGGUUUCCUGAUGGAGUAAGGACUGCCAGCAGGAAAGUGAUAGAUGAGAAUGCACGCGAGCGUAUCCUAUGACGCGUUAAAACAUAUGCAACUUAUUUUGGCAAUAUUGUCUUCCGUUGUUGUGGCCCGUUUCCCAUCACACCUGCAAGCUCCUUGAAAUCAGAAGCACGAGUCUCAGAGUUGAUGGAAUCGCCCCAGAGUGACUAACGUUGCCUUGUAAUUGGAAAGUGUAUGUGGCUUGUUGACGCUUCAGAACAUGUCAGUCCUUUCUUCCGGCUAAGUCUCUCGUAGGUGUGGAAGAGACACAUUGCAAAAAAAAAAGGCAACGUCUACUCAGGCAACUCAAAGGCUCUGUCGUGAACAGAUCGCCUGACCUUGAAGGAGCAUGGGAAGUCCACCGUCCUGAGUCAGACUUGCUGGUUUCCACUCGUUUUGUCUCCAUGCUUUCCUGGGGCAUCCAGCACCUGCCCUCUGCCCGCCACAGCCUCUACUGCCGGUGAAUAUCCUAAAAACACUGAGUUGGACCCUUUAAAAGGUGAAUUUUAUGGUAAAUCUACAAAGAAGACAUUAUCAACCACAUUUAUAAACCAGGAUUCAGGACCCAGAGAUGGCAAGUAAUUUGUCUAAGAUUUCCUUACAAAUGCCAAGUGUCAAUACUGGAACCCAGGUUUCCAUUCAACUUCCUUAUUCUAUGCUGCUCCCCAGAAUUGAAGUAAAGGGGAAACACUUUGCUUGAGAUUCUAAAAAUCUCACACAGUCAGCAUGCUUUAGGGAUAAAAGUGCCCUAAAAUCUCUCCUAAGAGCUAACUACGAUCUUGUGUUUUCAAGCACACGGCAAUUUUAUAGUCUGGCUGGAUGUAGGCGGCACAAAAGCCCUCACACACAUGCUGGAAAACACUUUUGAAUGAAUAUGGUAAAGUCAGACAAAGACAAAUAUCAUACGAUACCACUUAUAUGUGGAAUCUAAAAAAAUGGUCCAAAUGAACUUAUUUACAAGACAGACAUAGAGUCACAGAUGUGGAAAACAAACCUAUGGUUACCGGGGGAAAAGUGGGGGGAGAAAUAAACUGGGAGAUUGGGAUUGACAUAUACACACUGCUAUACAUAAAAUAGAUAACUAAUAAGGACAUACUGUAUAGCACAGGGAACUCUACUCAGUAUUCUGUAAUGGCCUAUAUGGGAAAAGAAUCUAAAAAAGGGUGGAUAUAUGUAUAUGCAUAACUGAUUCACUUUGCUGUACAUCCGAAACUAACACAACAUUGUAAAUCAACUACAGUACAAUAAAAAUUAAAGAUAAAUAAGUAAAUAAAUGUGAUAAAUAUAUAAGCAUGAAUUACAGAAUAGAGAUAUAGACAUAUCUAUAUGUCUAUAUAGAUAUAGACAGCAAACAGGGUGAUAUUUUACAAUUCACUAGUUCUGUUCAGUUAAUUAGAGCCAAUUGAGUUACUUGUGUAAAAAUACACUCCCCUAUGUUUAGUUGUUAAGCAGCGUCUCAGAUAGAAUCCCUAGACCAUAAUUUGAUUAAAGUAACAUCCUUUGGAUCAGAAGUAUUUGAGAAAUGAAUUUAUGAAAAAUGGAAUCUUUUUUAUUUUGUCGUAUUUUAUUUUUAAUAUUUCUUGCUUACAUUCAUUAAAGAUUUUUAAAAAUAGAAAAACAUGUUCUUAUUUAUCUAAUGUCUAAAUAUUUGGACUUGGAGUAAUAAUGUCAAUGAAUGAUCACUUCAAAAGCUGACCAUUGUUUUAUCUCUGUGCAGAGUCAGCACCACAGUAACUUGAAAAUAUGAAUCAUAGAAACCGUGUCCACAAAAUUACAGAUCUGUGAAUUUGUGGAAAACAGUGUUCUGUUUUUUUCCCUUUGCUUUAUAUAAAACGAGGAGCAUGCUACAGCCUUCUUACACGGAAGGGUUUAUUAACAGCUUCAUGCAUUUGCUGUUUGGAGAACAAUGAUAGUAGUUGGCAGGCAACCACUACUGGAGGGGACACAAAGGAAAUGCUAGUUAAAAAUAGGUCAAGAGAGCUUUUUAAGGAAAAUUGGGAAUGAAUCCAUAAAAAAACAAAAUGACUGAAUUUUACAUGAUUACUGCAAUUGAACAGACGCUUCAUCUGUUAAAAUCCUACAUUUUUGCUCAUUUCCCGAACCAUUUCAAAUUUUCUCUUGAUAGGAUUUUAUUGGAUAAACUAGAUAGUUAUAAAAUGGAAAAAGAAGAUGUCUAUUUACUGACUGCUUCUAAAAAUGAAUAUUUCUGAAGCACCAGGGACAAAAUUUUUAAAUAGAGAAAGGGUAGAAUAAUAUUCAAAUGUACAGUUUUUCUUUCAGAAUUCACCCAAAUCUAAAUCUAAACAAACCGUAUGAUUGUUCACUAUUUCCAUAAUCUUUACAACUAUAAUGGCUAAGUAAUUUACAUUAAAAACUCAUCAAUGGAAAACUAUUAAGGGCAACUGAAUGUAGUUCAGAAAACACAUAAUGUCCUUAGCAAAGAAAGUUAUAUGUGUAUUUGUCUUGUAAGCCUUUGGUCACUUUCUUGCUUUCUAAAUAUUUUCCCUUUUUGGUUAAAUAAUCUAAAGAUAUUAUAGAUGCAAAACAAAUAUUCCAAGAAAGAAAUGCUGGUCAUUCUCUGCAAACCCUCUCCUUACACAUCCAGUCGGCCACUGUGUCGAAGUGCUCAGUCCUGAUCAACACCUUUUGAGUCUGGCGCCUUAGACCGCUCGGCCAUCCUGACACGACUGAUCAACACCUUUUGAAUCCAGUCCCUCCAUCUGUUCCUGUUGGUUCAGGCCCUUACCCUCUUUUACUCAGACCACUAGGUCAGGGUCCCAGCUCUUCUCACUGCCCCAAAUCGUUUCCCCUCCGACUAAUCCUUCCUGUUGCCACCGAGUUGAUCUAUAAUGAAGUACGACUGAGCCUUUCCCCAGCAUAACAACACUCAGUGCUUCAAGUUCAAAGGCUUCAGAGACAGGCUCACCUUUCCUGCCUUGUCCCGCCCUCCUUCCUGCGCAUCCUCCCAGAGCCCUGCAGCCAUGCUCAUAUCGGGGUACCUUUUUUGCACAUUUCCCUGGACAUUCUGUUUUAAAGAUGUUAAAGUGGGAAAAAAAAAAAGCACCAACAGCUAGGCACGGCUUAACCAGUCAACUGAGUGGACGCAGAAGGUUGAGACAACUCAAUCCAGGGAGAAUCCAUGCUAUGAAUUGAAAGAAUAGGCUAAUCCUAACCUAACCCUUUGAGCAGCCUUCUCUAAAUAAUUGUAAGUAAACUGGGUAACAUUCAUGGUAUUUACUCUAAAAAUGUAUGGUCAAAAUUUCCUGUUCCAGAAUAGGGAACAAGGGUUCUUAAUUAUCUCUUAUUGUAACAUGACCUAUGGAUCCAAAGAAUAUGAUGAGGUACUAUUAGUAAAGUGCAGACGUAGAGAUGGCCGUCCCAGUGUUUGCCUUUUUUCAGUGGCUGUGAGCAGUGGACAGAGAAGCCAUCAGUUGCCUCCUCCGUACUUAACACGGUAUCUGCAAGACACGCGUCCUCCUUGCAAACCUUCUCUCCUCUCCUCCUGGGGCUCGACUGAAGUUUUAAGCUAAGCCCUCCCUAGUUAAAAAUAAAGGUAUGGUAAACGUGUGUGACGGGUCUGUAGCACAUCACUGUCUUUUAAAAAACACAUUUGCCUUCACCUUUCUCCAUGCAGGUGAAAGGAACAAAUUAAAUACUGCCUGAAAUCCGUUCAUUCGGGACUCUGCACUCCGCCACCACUUCCUUGCAACGUCAGAACGGUCAACUCCUUUCUGUUUUUUUCCCUUUUGUGGGCAGUGGGGAGCAGGUAGCACUUUAACGUUACGUCAAAAUGUCAAAUGGUUUAGCUGUGCCUUCAGAGGCGAGAUGUCACAAUCACAUGCAAUCACUUAUCCAGCUUUUCUGUCUUUUAUAUUUUCUACGAUUGUUCUAGGGAUUUUGUAUUUUCCUAUUCACUCUUUGAGGGCUUUUUCUACAGAACCUACUUACUUGGUCUAGGAGGUGCUGCAGCUUUCAGAUUGAGUUUGCCUCUGAAAAGAAUUAGCGUUUUGUUUCUGUACUGUUUUUCGAUGGCUACUGCUUUCAAUCAUAACAGACUAGAAAUGAGAACCAUUUACAUUAAAGUUUCACAUAUAAAUGGUUUUGCCUACUGCUUAAUUUAAAAAAAUCAUCUCGAGUCCAUUUGACUCUAUGCUAUCACUUCUCUAUGAGAUCCCUUCCCCCAGCACCCCUCCCCAGGAGAUUCAGUAAAUGAGAUAAUUUAAAAUCCUGUUUCAUGCUGGGUAAUAAGUUAACUUUCUACUAUUCUGAAGAAGAAGCUAUAGUCGAUUUUUCAGCGAAGGGGACCUUCCUAAGCAGUGUGUAAAGGGCAAUGAUUCCAACUGCCGUGAAUGGUAAAUAACACACGUGUUUCUAUGGCUGUGACUGUUCCCCUUCUCCCAUCUGUGCCUUCCGGUGACUGCACCGAACUUGCCGCGGCUCCGCCCACGAGUCCCUCCUUCCCCCAGAGGAAACUGCCUGGAGCGGAGCAGCCCUUGGGGCUCCUCGGAGGACCACCCUGCAGUUUAAGAAGUGCCCCCCGGCACAGCUGUACACCCAGGGCCCUGCCACGAAGACCAGGGAAAAAUAAGACGUCUAAGGGUUCGCUUUAACACACUGACGCAAAGAGAAAGAGGGUCGUGAACAAAUGUGGUGGAUUUCAACCAUCACUGAAUCUGCCCAUUGGCUAUAUGGAUGUUCAUUGCAAUAGUUCCCCCUACUUCUGUGGAGGCCUGAAAUUUACCUGUGGAGGUAAAAUUUUUAUCACAAGGUAGAGGGGUACCAAGGGCAAGCACAGGAUUUCUGUCAAUUCCAGGUAAGGAGGGAGAAAGCCCAAGCACCCCUCCACAUACACCAACGCUUUCCCUUUGCCCCAUGGGCCCACUCUCCACCCUGCUCUGGGCCCCUGGCCAGAAAUCCCCACCACCCACCAAGAAGGACAAGAAAGACGGCUUUGCAGCUGCUCAUUAGGCUGGGAUGGUGGUGGCAGCACCGUUCCUGGGGCGCCUGCGUGAUGACAGAUGCUCUGGACUGUGGGUGAGCCAUCAGGGCUGGUUUCUGGAGGAUGGAGGGAUGAGAGCAAUGGUGCCCUUUUCCACAUCAGGGACUACACAAGUGUCUUACAUUCACAGUCUCUGAUCUAACAUUAUUAUAGGCAUUAUCUUCCCCGUAUUAUGAAAAGAAGUGACUUACUCAAGGCUCCAUGACUAGUAAACGGGAUUCAAACCAAGUUAUGUCUGGCUCAAAAGUUUAUACUCUUCCCAUUACACAAUUUGUUUUCUCCUAAAGGAGCUGGGAGGGUGCUUGUUGAGUUGGUCUUGUUGUGUUUGGAUGCAGAUGUAGGUGUCUAAGGAAGAGAGGAAAGAGAAGACACAGAAGGGACAGGAUGGGAACCAUCCUCCCCUCUCUGGCCACACACGAAAGACCGGUUUGGAGCCUAUGAGGACAGAAGGUGAAGGACCAGUGCCCUGAAAUACUGAAUGGGAAUAAGUCCAUGCAGCACUGCCUCUUUCCUAGGAAACAAAAUCAGCACGGGCUUGAGGAGAAGCCAUUCCUCUUCCCGACCUACCAUCCACAGGUGACAGUCACUUUGGUCCCAAGGGUUCCAUCGGGAUAAAGUCUUACUGAGGCACCAGCUGCAGGGGUCAUGACAAGUGCCCUUGACCAAGAGGCUCAAGUGGAAAGAAUGUGAGCAAAUUCGUGCCUGGGCCCAUAGGAGAUGUCACCGCUUGGAGGACAUCCAGAUGUAGCUGGGGAGGAAUUUAAGCCAACAAGAAGAGCAUGGAGGUUAAGGUCUUACCAACAGGUGAAGCUCUGAAGCUAUGGAGACAUGGGUGUAAAUAUUAAUUGACCUUAUUUAUACUCACAAGCUAUUGGAACCUAGGAGGUGCGGAAUAAUUGCUAAUCCGCUGUUCUUUCUUUGGACUCUACCUCCCUGGCUCUGUUCCGGGGUUACUGCCACCAAAUCCAUGACUCCAUCAGAAGUCAGGGCUGGCAGGGUUGCUUCGCCCUCUACUGCGCACCUGCUCUUCCCUGUCUGGGCUUAGUUUUCAUACAAUUGGACUCAGCUUAUCUGCCUGCUCUCCUGAAGACUGGCCUCUGCUCUCUCAUCUGAAUCUUUGUUACUUCGAUUAUGGGAUAGUAGGAAAUAAAUAUUUGGUCUUUGCCUCUGGGUCCUGGCACAGAGCUCGUAAAACUCUCGGAAUUUCCUGAGUGAUAAGAGUGUUUUCUGUAUGCUGAUGGCAGGGCCCCCAAAUAGCCUCAGACGGGGGUGGGGAGGGGAGUUGGUCACCCCAGGAACCAACCACAUGAUUAGAGGGUAGGAACUUUCUGACCCGUUCUGAUCUCCAGGGAGGGGAGAUAGACUAGAGAUCGACUUCAACCACCAACGGCCAAUGAUUUAAUCAAUCGCGCCAACAUGAUGACACUUAGCUGGGAACUCUGGAACGACCACCAAGCUGCAGGAGUUUCCAGGCUGGUAAGCACAUGGAGGUGCUGGGAGGGGACGUGCACCUGGAGAGGGCCCGGGAGCUCUGCACACCUGCUGCCCCCAAAUCUUGACCUAUGCAUCUCUGCCAUGAGCUGUUCCUGAGUUGUAUUCUUUAUAAUAAACUGUAGUCAUAAGUAAAGAGCUUUCUGGGUUCUGAGUCAAUCUAGUGAAUUACUGAACCUGAGGGCGGGGGUCCUGGGAAUCCCUGAAUUUGUAGUGGGGGUAGCCCGGGGAUCCCGUCCCUGCUGGCACCUCGAGUGAAGGCAAUCCCGCAGGACUGAACCUGUAACCGUGGGGUCUGUGCUAACUCUGGGUCGUUAGUGUUGGAAUCAACUUGAAUUGCUGGACACCCAGGAGGUACUGGAGAGUUAGGGAACCGAUGGUUGUUGGAAAGAUCCUCAUCAGGUUGUCCACAUUCAUCUUAAAUGACAUUCCAACACUGCCAGGUGGUCAGGACAUUCUCCCAGCCUCCCUGGACAGACUGACACAUGAACCAGCAUAGUGCCAUCAGGUAAGGGCCUCCUACACACAGCCCUCCUGGCCAGAACUGCCGUCAUCUCUCACCUGGGUUGUGACAGCAAACCAUAAUGGGUUUCCCCGCCUCUACCCCUGCCCUUCACACAGCAGCUAGAGGGACCCUUUUACAAAGUAAGUCAGACCGUGUCAACCCCCUGCAGUGGGUUUCCAUCCCCUUCACAGCUUCCUCUUCAACCAUGACUUCGACUCCCUGGCCCUCAGUCCCUCCCCACCAGCACACCAGUCUCCUCCCUGUUCUUGGAACGUGCCAAGCAGUGCCCACCUACGGGAUCUGCACGUGCUCCCCUGUCUGGAACAUUCUUCCCCUAAAUAGCUUAUGACUAAUUCACUCACCUCCUUCAAGUGUUUGCUCAAAUUUCAUCUCCAAGAGGUCUUUCCUGAGCAUCCUAUUUAAAACUGUGACACACGUUCCUACGACACCCCAUCGCACU